rnacentral:rRNA from 1 species
GACGAACGCUGGCGGCGUGCUUAACACAUGCAAGUCGAACGGAAAGGCCCUGCUUUUGUGGGGUGCUCGAGUGGCGAACGGGUGAGUAACACGUGAGUAACCUGCCCUUGACUUUGGGAUAACUUCAGGAAACUGGGGCUAAUACCGGAUAGGAGCUCCUGCUGCAUGGUGGGGGUCAGAAAGUUUCGGCGGUUGGGGAUGGACUCGCGGCUUAUCAGCUUGUUGGUGGGGUAGUGGCUUACCAAGGCUUUGACGGGUAGCCGGCCUGAGAGGGUGACCGGCCACAUUGGGACUGAGAUACGGCCCAGACUCCUACGGGAGGCAGCAGUGGGGAAUAUCGCACAAUGGGCGGAAGCCUGAUGCAGCAACGCCGCGUGCGGGAUGACGGCCUUCGGGUUGUAAACCGCUUUCGCCUGUGACGAAGCGUGAGUGACGGUAAUGGGUAAAGAAGCACCGGCUAACUACGUG